GGCACUUUGGCGGAGUGGUUAACGCGAUGCCCUGCUAAGGCAUUUCCUUCGGGAGCGUGUGGUGAGUUUAUUCGAAUCACUAUAUACCCAUUGAAGCCUGUUCUGACUUGAGGUGUGAAAAGUUCGAAUCACACAGGUGUCG